rnacentral:pre_miRNA from 1 species
UGAGUAUUACAUCAGGUACUGAUGAUCAAUUCAACUUUAGUACAUUUUGUAAUAUUUGCA